rnacentral:rRNA from 2 species
GACAGAGGGUGCUAGCGUUGUUCGGAAUUACUGGGCGUAAAGGGCGCGUAGGCGGUCCGCUAAGUUCGGCGUGAAAUCCCCUGGCUCAACUGGGGAACUGCGCUGGAUACUGGUGGACUCGAGUACCGGAGAGGAGAGUGGAAUUCCUGGUGUAGCGGUGAAAUGCGUAGAUAUCAGGAGGAACACCGGUGGCGAAGGCGGCUCUCUGGACGGAUACUGACGCUGAGGCGCGAAAGCGUGGGGAUCAAACAGG